GUACUUGCUUUGGCAGCACAUGUACUAAAAUUGGAAUAAUACAGAGACAAUUAGCGUGGUCCCUGUGCAAGGAUAAUAUGCAAGUUCAGGAAGCAUUCCAUAUUUUA